GAUGAAGAACGCAGCGAAGUGCGAUAAGUAAUGUGAAUUGCAGAAUUCAGUGAAUCAUCGAAUCUUUGAACGCACAUUGCGCCCGCCAGUAUUCUGGCGGGCAUGCCUGUUCGAGCGUCAUUUCAACCAUCAAGCCCUGCUUGCGUUGGGGUCCUGCGGCUGCCCGCAGGCCCUGAAAACCAGUGGCGGGCUCGCUAGUCACACCGAGCGCAGUAAUACAUCUCGCUUUGGGCGUGCGGCGGGUUCUUGCCGUUAAACACCCCCUUUUUACCAAGGUUGACCUCGGAUCAGGUAGGAAUACCCGCUGAACUUAAGCAUAUCAAUAAGCGGAGGA
rnacentral:misc_RNA from 1 species